rnacentral:rRNA from 1 species
CCUACGGGAUGCAGCAGUGGGGAAUAUUGGACAAUGGGGGGAACCCUGAUCCAGCCAUGCCGCGUGUGUGAAGAAGGCCCUCGGGUUGUAAAGCACUUUCAGUGAGGAAGAACGCCUGGUGGUUAAUACCCAUCAGGAAAGACAUCACUCACAGAAGAAGCACCGGCUAACUCCGUGCCAGCAGCCGCGGUAAUACGGAGGGUGCGAGCGUUAAUCGGAAUUACUGGGCGUAAAGCGCGCGUAGGUGGCUUGAUAAGCCGGUUGUGAAAGCCCCGGGCUCAACCUGGGAACGGCAUCCGGAACUGUCAAGCUAGAAUGCAGGAGAGGAAGGUAGAAUUCCCGGUGUAGCGGUGAAAUGCGUAGAGAUCGGGAGGAAUACCAGUGGCGAAGGCGGCCUUCUGGACUGACACUGACACUGAGGUGCGAAAGCGUGGGUAGCAAACAGGAUUAGAUACCCUAGUAGUC